AGUGGCGAACGGGUGAGUAACGCGUGAGUAUCUGCCCUUAGGAGGGGGACAACAGUUGGAAACGACUGCUAAUACCCCAUAUGUCUACGGAUGAAAGAUUUUAUCGCCUGAGGAUGAGUUCGCGUCUGAUUAGCUUGGUGAGGUAAAGGCUCACCAAGGCGACGAUCAGUAGCUGGUCUGAGAGGAUGAUCAGCCACACUGGGACUGAGACACGGCCCAGACUCCUACGGGAGGCAGCAGUGGGGAAUUUUCCGCAAUGGGGGCAACCCUGACGGAGCAAUACCGCGUGCGGGAGGACGGCCUGUGGGUUGUAAACCGCUUUUCUCAGGGAAGAAGACCUGACGGUACCUGAGGAAUCAGCAUCGGCUAACUCCGUGCCAGCAGCCGCGGUAAUACGGAGGAUGCAAGCGUUAUCCGGAAUUAUUGGGCGUAAAGCGUCCGUAGGUGGUUAAUCAAGUCUGCUGUUAAAGAGCGGAGCUCAACUCCGUUUAAGCGGUGGAAACUGGUUGACUAGAGAGUGGUAGGGGUAGAGGGAAUUCCCAGUGUAGCGGUGAAAUGCGUAGAUAUUGGGAAGAACACCGGUGGCGAAAGCGCUCUACUGGGCCACAUCUGACACUGAUGGACGAAAGCUAGGGGAGCGAAAGGGAUUAGAUACCCC
rnacentral:rRNA from 1 species